UUUAAGAUCAUUUUUUGAGUUUUUUAAUACAAUAUUUUGUCUCUUUGUCUUAUUUAAAAUUUUUUAUGAUUAGUAUUUUUAUUCUUACUAGAUGAUAAAACAUAAAUAGUAUUUUAUGUGUGACUAAUUUUUUUAUGUUUUUAUACAUUUUUUUCAAAUAGGACAAAUGGUCAAACGUUGGACACGAAAAAACGAAAAAUGAAGUUAUC
rnacentral:pre_miRNA from 1 species